ACCUGGGUGGCUCAGUCGGUUGAGCGUCUGACUUCAGCUCAGGUCUUGAUCUCUUGGUUCGUGAGUUUGAGCCCCACUUCGGGCU
rnacentral:tRNA from 1 species